rnacentral:rRNA from 1 species
CAGUAGCCACGGUAAUACGGAGGGCGCGAGCGUUACCCGGAUUUACUGGGCGUAAAGGGCGUGUAGGCGGCCUGGGGCGUCCCAUGUGAAAGGCCACGGCUCAACCGUGGAGGAGCGUGGGAUACGCUCAGGCUAGAGGGUGGGAGAGGGUGGUGGAAUUCCCGGAGUAGCGGUGAAAUGCGCAGAUACCGGGAGGAACGCCGAUGGCGAAGGCAACCACCUGGUCCACUUCUGACGCUGAGGCGCGAAAGCGUGGGGAGCAAACCGGAUUAGAUACCCCUGUAGUCCCUGUCUCUUAUAC